rnacentral:lncRNA from 1 species
CAGAGCCGCUCGUCUGACACAGAGGAAGAGCCAUCCUUGAGCUAAGAGGACUGGCUGUAAUUAGCAUGGAGAGAUUAAAUACGAAAGGAACACUGUCAAAAACCCAUUUCCACCACAGGAAAUGAGCGUGGCCUAGAAUAGAUGCAGAGCAUGAUUAAACUGCAGGACGGGCUCGGGAGGGAGGGUGAGCCGGCACACAUCUCCUGGGAGCCGCCCCAGACCUAUGCUUGGGACCACUGCUGAGUCAGAUCCAUGGAGGCGGUUCUCUGCAGAUGAUGCGGAGAAACAGGAUGCUAGGCAUCUUUGUAGACGUGGUGUCUGGAGCUACGGUAGCCAUUACGUGAUCACGAGGUGACAGACACGAGCCAACAGGGAGAGAUUUUCACAGAGCCACUGGACCAAUAUCAAUAACCACCUACACCUGACUAUGUGUUAGGCUGAAGCCACUCUGAGUUGGGGUUUCUGUUAAUUGCGGCUGAACCCAUUCUUAACUAAUAUUUUAAUUAUUAGAAACGAAUAUGCAAUAAAAAACUUGUGGUUAAAUCUUUGUACAUAGUUUUAUAGAAUGUAUUCACGUAAGAAAAAGUGGGGGAUGUUCUGGGCUGAAUUGUGUUCCCUCUGACACACAAAUUUAUCUGUGGAAGUCGCAACCCCCAGUACUUCAGAAUGUAGCCAUAUUUGGAGAUAAAUUCUUUAAAGAGUUUAUUUAGCUAAGUUAAAAUGAGGCCUUUAGGGUGGCCCUAAUCUAAUAUGGCUGGUGUCCUUUUAAGAAGAGGAAAUUCAGACACAAAUGUGCACCCACACACAGAGGGAAGACUAUGUAAAGACACAGCAAGAAGGUGGGCUGGGUGCAGUGGCUCAUGCCUGUAAUCCUAGCACUUUGAGAGGCCAAGUUGGGUGGAUCAUUUGAGGUCAGAAGUUCAAGACCAGUGAGUGAGGUGUUCAGAGAGAAGGGUGUGUGCAAAUUCAUGGCUAAGUUUCAAUCAAUCCACUAUAAAUUGAUAUGGUUUGGGGCAAAUGGUGAAACCCUGCCUCUACUAAAAAUACAAAAAUUAGCCAGGCGCAGUGGCACAUGCCUGUAAUCCCAGCUGCUCGGGAGGCUGAGGCAGGAGAAUCGCUUGAACCCAGGAGGUGGAGGUUGCAGUGAUCAGAGAUUAUACCACUGCACUCUAGCCUGGGUGACAGAGGGCAACUCCGUUUCAAAAAAAAAAAAAAAAGAAGAAGAAGAAGAAGAAGAAGAAGGUGG